AGUAAAUAGAUACCCAGGUAGUCCACGCCGUAAACGAUGAGUACUAGGUGUAGGAGGUAUCGACUCCUUCUGUGCCGCAGUUAAACACAAUAAGUACUCCGCCUGGGAAGUACGGUCGCAAGAUUAAAACUCAAAGGAAUUGACGGGGGCCCGCACAAGCAGCGGAGCAUGUGGUUUAAUUCGAAGCAACGCGAAGAACCUUACCUAGACUUGACAUCCCCUGAAUAACGUAGAGAUACGCGAAGCCCUCCGGGGCAGGGAGACAGGUGGUGCAUGGUUGUCGUCAGCUCGUGUCGUGAGAUGUUGGGUUAAGUCCCGCAACGAGCGCAACCCUUAUCAUUAGUUGCUACCAUUUAGUUGAGCACUCUAGUGAGACUGCCCGGGUUAACCGGGAGGAAGGCGGGGAUGACGUCAAAUCAUCAUGCCCCUUAUGUCUAGGGCUACACACGUGCUACAAUGGUGAGAACAACGAGAUGCAAUACCGCGAGGUGAGCAAAACUUCAAAACUCAUCUCAGUUCGGAUUGUAGGCUGAAACUC
rnacentral:rRNA from 1 species